GUGCCAGCCGCCGCGGUAACACGUAGGAGGCGAGCGUUAUCCGGAUUCACUGGGCGUAAAGCGCGUGCAGGCGGUUCGGUAAGUUGGGCGUGAAAUCUCCCGGCUCAACUGGGAGAGGUCGUUCAAUACUACCGGACUUGAGAGCGAUAGAGGAAAAUGGAAUUCCCGGUGUAGUGGUGAAAUGCGUAGAUAUCGGGAGGAACACCAGUGGCGAAAGCGAUUUUCUGGAUCGUUUCUGACGCUCAGACGCGAAAGCUAGGGUAGCAAACGGGAUUAGAGACCCCGGUAGUCCUAGCCGUAAACGAUGUGAACUUGGCGUCGGUGGCUUAAACUCCAUCGGUGCCGAAGCCAACGCGAUAAGUUCACCGCCUGGGGACUACGACCGCAAGGUUAAA
rnacentral:rRNA from 1 species